rnacentral:rRNA from 1 species
CCAAUCGAACCCGGAGAUAGCUGGUUCUCCUCGAAAUAGCUUUAGGGCUAGCCUCAUGGAUCAUUGAUGGGGGUAGAGCACUGAAUGUGCGCGGGGGCCACAAAGCCUACCAAACGCUAUCAAACUUCGAAUACCAUACAAUGCAGACCAUGGGAGUCAGUCCGCGAGAGAUAAGUUCCGCGGGCAAAAGGGGAACACCCCAGAUCAACCGCUAAGGUCCCCAAGUUCACGUUAAGUGGAGAAGGAUGUGGAAUUGCACAGACAACCAGGAUGUUGGCUCAGAAGCAGCCACACAUUUAAAGAGUGCGUAAUAGCUCACUGGUCGAGUGAUUGUGCGCCGAAGAUGUCCGGGGCUAAACGUGACACCGAAGCGAUGGGUGAGUCUGAAGAAGAUGCGCGGUAGAGGAGCAAUGUGCAGAGGCAGAAGCCGUAUCGAGAGGCACGGUGGACACUGCACAAGAGAGAAUGCCGGUAUGAGUAGCGAGAGGCAUGCGAGAAACAUGCCCGUCGAAAGCCCAAGGUUUCCUGGGGAAGGUUCAUCCGCCCAGGGUAAGUCGGGGCCUAAGCCGAGGACGGAAGUCGUAGGCGAUGGACAGCAGGUGUAGAUUCCUGCACUACCGAUGGAAUGAAGCAGUGACACAGAAGGAUAACUCGAGCAGGGUGAUGGUCAACCCUGUGCAAGCAUCGAGGUUGGGUUGUAGUGAAGUACGCAACCCUAUAAGCUGAGAUGUGAUGCGGACCGAAAUUUCAGUAGGGAAGCGAGUGAGUUCACGCUGGCGAGAAAAGCUGCUAGUAUAUCCAAAGGUACCCGUACCGGAAACCGACGCAGGUGGGCGAGGAGAGAAUCCUGAGACGAACGGGAGAACCCUUGUUAAGGAACUCGGCAAAAUGACCCCGUAACUUCGGGAUAAGGGGUGCCUGCGAGAGCAGGCCGCAGAGAAUAGUCACAAGCGACUGUUUAGCAAAAACACAGGUAUCUGCGAAAGCGAGAGCUGACGUAUAGGUGCUGACACCUGCCCGGUGCUGGAAGGUUAAGGGAACAUGUUAGAGCAAUCGAAGCAUCGAACCGAAGCCCCAGUAAACGGCGGCCGUAACUAUAACGGUCCUAAGGUAGCGAAAUUCCUUGUCGGGUAAGUUCCGACCCGCACGAAUGGUGUAACGACUUGUGAGCUGUCUCAACAGGGGGCCCGGUGAAAUUGAAGUAUGGGUGAAGAUGCCCAUUACCCGCGACUGGACGGAAAGACCCCGUAGAGCUUUACUGCAGCCUGAUAUUGAGUUUCGGUAACUGAUGCACAGGAUAGGUGGGAGUCUGAGAGACAUGGGUUUCGGCUCAUGUGGAGACGGUGUUGGGAUACCACUCUUCGGUUACUGAAAUUCUAACAUAGCUCUGUGAAACCAGAGGAUGGACAGUGUCAGGUGGACAGUUUGACUGGGGCGGUCGCCUCCGAAAGAGUAACGGAGGCGCCCAAAGGUACCCUCAGAAUGGAUGGAAACCAUUCGAAGAGCGCAAAGGCAGAAGGGUGCCUGACUGCGAGAUUGACAAAUCGAGCAGAGACGAAAGUCGGGCUUAGUGAUCCGGCGGUAUUGAGUGGAAAAGCCGUCGCUUAACGGAUAAAAGCUACCUCGGGGAUAACAGGCUGAUCUCCCCCAAGAGUCCACAUCGACGGGGAGGUUUGGCAC